rnacentral:rRNA from 1 species
GACGUAGGGCGCGAGCGUUGUCCGGAUUUAUUGGGCGUAAAGAGCUCGUAGGCGGCUUGUCGCGUCGACUGUGAAAUCCCGCGGCUCAACUGCGGGUCUGCAGUCGAUACGGGCAGGCUAGAGUUCGGUAGGGGAGACUGGAAUUCCUGGUGUAGCGGUGAAAUGCGCAGAUAUCAGGAGGAACACCGGUGGCGAAGGCGGCUCACUGGCCCGAUACUGACGCUGAGGUGCGAAAGCGUGGGGAGCAAACAGG